GGGAAGCGCGGGCCGAGGGGCGCGGGAAUGCGGGGGGGGGAAUGGUUGUUCGGGAAUGCUGGGCGUAAAGGGCGCGGAGGCGGCCUUCUAAGGCGUGCGUGAAAUCCCCCGGGUCAACCGGGGAACUGCGUUCGAUACUGGAAGGCUUGAAUCCGGGAGAGGGAUGUGGAAUUCCAGGUGUAGCGGUGAAAUGCGUAGAUAUCUGGAGGAACACCGGUGGCGAAGGCGGCAUCCUGGACCGGCAUUGACGCUGAGGCGCGAAAGCUAGGGGAGCAAACGGGAUUAGAUACCCUUGUAGUC
rnacentral:rRNA from 1 species